AUUGAACGCUGGCGGCAGGCUUAACACAUGCAAGUCGAGCGAGCGGCGGACGGGUGAGUAAUGUCUGGGAAACUGCCUGAUGGAGGGGGAUAACUACUGGAAACGGUAGCUAAUACCGCAUACCAUCAGAUGUGCCCAGAUGGGAUUAGCUAGUAGGUGGGGUAAUGGCGCACCUAGGCGACGAUCCCUAGCUGGUCUGAGAGGAUGACCGGCCAAACUGGGACUGAGACACGGGCCAGAAUCCUACGGGAGGCAGCAGUGGGGAAUAUUGGACAAUGGGCGAAAGCCUGAUGCAGCAAUGCCGCGUGAGUGAAGAAGGCUUUCGGGUUGUAAAGCACUUUCAGCGGGGAGGCGUUACUCGCAGAAGAAGCAACGGCUAACUCCGUGCCAGCAGCCGCGGUAAUAC
rnacentral:rRNA from 1 species